rnacentral:tRNA from 1 species
GAAUAUGAAGUGAUAUAUCACACUUAGUUUCGACCUAACCUUAGAUGACUUUCAUCCUUAUUCU